rnacentral:rRNA from 1 species
GCAUAUCAAUAAGCGGAGGAAAGAAACCAACCGGGAUUGCCUCAGUAACGGCGAGUGAAGCGGCAAGAGCUCAAAUUUGAAAGCUGGCUCCUUCGGAGUCCGCAUUGUAAUUUGCAGAGGAUGCUUUGGGUGCGGCCCCCGUCUAAGUGCCCUGGAACGGGCCGUCAGAGAGGGUGAGAAUCCCGUCUUGGGCGGGGUGUCCGUGCCCGUGUAAAGCUCCUUUCGACGAGUCGAGUUGUUUGGGAAUGCAGCUCUAAAUGGGUGGUAAAUUUCAUCUAAAGCUAAAUACUGGCCGGAGACCGAUAGCGCACAAGUAGAGUGAUCGAAAGAUGAAAAGCACUUUGAAAAGAGAGUUAAACAGCACGUGAAAUUGUUGAAAGGGAAGCGCUUGCGACCAGACUCGCCCGCGGGGUUCAGCCGGCAUUCGUGCCGGUGUACUUCCCCGUGGGCGGGCCAGCGUCGGUUUGGGCGGCCGGUCAAAGGCCCCUGGAAUGUAGUACCCUCCGGGGUACCUUAUAGCCAGGGGUGCAAUGCGGCCAGCCUGGACCGAGGAACGCGCUUCGGCACGGACGCUGGCAUAAUGGUCGUAAACGACCCGUCUUGAAACACGGACCAAGGAGUCUAACAUCUACGCGAGUGUUCGGGUGUCAAACCCGUGCGCGCAGUGAAAGCGAACGGAGGUGGGAGCCCCCUCGCGGGGCGCACCAUCGACCGAUCCUGAUGUCUUCGGAUGGAUUUGAGUAAGAGCGUAAAUGUGGGGACCCGAAAGAUGGUGAACUAUGCCUGAAUAGGGCGAAGCCAGAGGAAACUCUGGUGGAGGCUCGCAGCGGUUCUGACGUGCAAAUCGAUCGUCAAAUUUGGGUAUAGGGGCGAAAGACUAAUCGAACCAUCUAGUAGCUGGUUCCUGC